UCAGUCCCCUCUGAUCGCAUCCCGUUUUCCUAGUUCCCCGACUGUCCUGGGCACGAGGGGAGCCGUGCAUGGGGAGCCCUGCCAUCCGGUCCUCUCACCUGCCACUGGCCGCCCCUGGGGUCCCCUGGCUUGCACUCCUCAACACUCCUGUGUGCAGCCGUGCAGCCUUGUCAAGGCCAGAGAGCCCGUGUGCCGCUUGUCCCCAUGAGAUCUUUAUCUUAGAAACUGGUCUUCGAGUCUCUUUCCGAAUCAACAGGAAGCCCUGAAGAGAGGCCAUCUUGCUAAUGGGAAAUGAACCUCGGUGCUUUUGGUGACCUCUCGCUGGUGGCCCCCGACCCCGCGUGUGUGGCAGGGUCCACCUGUGAGCAGGGCCAGCUGAGGGCCUCUGGCUGGGACGUGCCCCCUCUAAGCCUUGGGCUGCCCUUACCUGUGCGUGGGGCCUCGUGGUGAGCGGCUCUUCCAGCUCCUGUGCCAGCAGGUGGAACGAAGAAGAAAGGCAUCUUAAGAAACACAUCUCUUGGCAGUUCCACAAAGUCCUGUUCAAAUCAAGCCAAUAUUUAUAUAUAUAUUUUAAGCCAAUCUCUCUUUUUUAUUUUGUGGUUAUGAAAAUAGGGACAAAGGGAUUCCCCAGGAUGGAAGGGGAACCUAGUGUUUCUUUUUUUGUGGCUGUGAGGUGCACUCAGUGGGGCUUCAGGAGAAAGGAGGCAGGUACCUUGACGACCCUUGGACAGACUGUGGAAGCUGGGCAGAGAAGCUGCUGGGAGGAGCAGGAUGGGGUGGGAAUCAGAACCUGCUUUUCACCUCAGGGCCUCACCUAACAUGUGCUCCAUGGUGGGACUUCUCCACGGGCCCAGGCUGGUGGGGGAGGUGAAUUAACCAGGCAGCCCCCCUUUGCCCCUGGAAAAUCCACACUGUUCUCUCUGCACUAUGAACUCCUCCAGGAGAAAAUUAUUUAAGUCUAACAUAUUGUUGGUUUUGUGACAAUGGUCAUUGCACAUUAUUUUUGUUGCUGUCGUUGGGUUGUUGCUAUUGUUAUUUAUUGCCGUUGGAGUUGGCCUCUGCUGGAGUCUCCACGGGAGCUGGCAGCCUGACUGGCUCCCUCUCCACUGGACUCUUCCUCCAGAAGUGCUGGCCACCUCGCAGGGGCUGUCAGGAACUCCUCGCUGUUUAAAUAUUUAUUUAUUGUUGACACAGGAGCUGGUUUCCUAGAUACGAAUGGUGUACUCAACCCUCCUUUUCCUGUUUUAGCAUGUGAUUUUAUUGUGAAAUAAAAAUAAAACCCAAAU
rnacentral:lncRNA from 1 species